ensembl:lncRNA
AACAAUAAAUUAAAUUCGAAUAUAACAAAAAAAACUGCGGAAAGAAAACAUGAUUCCACCAAUAAUAGUAAUAUUCAAAUACAUAAAAUAUAUGAGUUUGAUCCCACUCAAAUGGAAUUACCAUCUUUUGUUAAUUCUAAGAUUAUAUAUUUUAUGAUAAGUAAUAAUAUAAAAAAUUACUGCACAAAAUGUACUUAUGAACAUAAUAAUGAAAAGAAAUUUGAGUUUGAUACUGCAAAGAAACUUUUUAGUUUAAAUAAUUUGUUUUUACUUAGCACGGUUAACUUAUGUUACACUGGAGUGUUGUGUACUCAUACGUGUACAAACGACGACAACAUCACCAGUAGCUGCUACUAUUCCAGUAGUAUUCCCUUUUUUAAAGAUAUCAAAACCGAGCAGAGUAAGUCCAUUUUCGUGUAUAACAAAAUAGACAAAUUUUCUAAAAUUAACCUGAACAUGCAAGGUAAAAUACAUAACAACAGCAAAAAAAUAUUAUUUUUUCUAAAAAAUAGAUAUAUUAUAACUCCUCAAAAAAACAUUUUAAACAUAGAUUAUAAACAAAAAAAUGACUCUAUCACCAUUUCAGACAAGCUACUUAAAUAUAGGCAGUCAUUAUUUUAUUUUUUUAAAAAAAAAAAAGUAUUCAUAUGUAUAAAAAAAUGUACUACUACUAAAAUCGGCAAAAAAAAAAAAAAGCUUAUUUCAUAUUACAAAAUAGUUCAGAAACAAAACUGUGUAAUAAUUAUGUACAGAAAAAAUAAUAAUGUUGAUAAUAAUACUACAACCACUACUACUAUUACUAUCCCUACCACUACCACUACUAACAAUAAUAAUAAUAAUAAUAAUAAUAAUAAAACAUUUUCUUUCGAUGAAUACCCUGAUAUUUAUAAAAAAGUACCCAAUAUAAAACUAACAAAUUUUUAUGUUAAGGUAAAUGAUGGAUUAAUUAGCUAUUUUGAUCAAACAAGUUGCCAAAACAAUAUGAUUGAUUAUAAUUCGAAAUUUAAACGAAUAUCUUAUAAAAAAGAAAAGAAACAUACGUACAAACACAGGCAUAGAAAUAGGUAUUAUAAGUGUACGUUGGGUAUGCAUUUGUGGAUUCAAAAAUUUGCCAGGUUUGUAACAAAAACGGAAGCAAGUACUAGAGAAAGCAACAGAGAAAGCAACAGAGAAAGCAACAAAGAAAACAACAGAACAAGCAACAAAGAAAACAACAGAANNNNNNNNNNAGAAAACAACAGAACAAGCAACAAAGAAAACAACAGAACAAGCAACAUAACGAAUGAACAUACAGAUGAUGGUCAAACUUAUAAAAUACAUACGUUACAUAAGGACACAAAAAAAAAAGUGGAAAAAGAGCUACCUACAACUAUGAAUAUAUUAAGCAACCAUUAUAUUCUAUUUAAUACUCUUAAAAUGAUUAACAAAAAAAUAACGGAAGAUAUGUACAUGAAUUUAAUAUAUAACACGUGUGUUGUAUUAUAUAAAAAAAGAUUCCUAACUUGUUCAGACAAUUUUCGAUUUUCUUUUAAUGAUUAUAAUAAUAUGAUAAUGAUGGAAAAGAAUUAUAUUGGCAGUGGUUCUAAAUUUUAUAACAAAACAAAUACUGUUUUUAAUACAGAAUACCAACUUAAACAAGGUAAUAAAAGUAAUUACAAAAUAAAUACUGUUGCUAAUGCAGAACCUGAGUCGUCAUAUCGCGUAUCGAAAAAAUAUGAACUGUUCAUAAAUUACCUUAACUGUUCAUGUAUUUAUGAAACUUUACUUUUGCUAAAAAAUAAUGAGCA